UACAGAGGUCUCAAGCGUUGUUCGGAUUCAUUGGGCGUAAAGGGUGUGUAGGUGGCGCGCUAAGUCGGGUGUGAAAUUUCGGAGCUUAACUCCGAAACUGCAUUCGAUACUGGCGUGCUUGAGGACUGGAGAGGAGACUGGAAUUCAUGGUGUAGCAGUGAAAUGCGUAGAGAUCAUGAGGAAGACCAGUGGCGAAGGCGGCAUCCUGGACCGGCAUUGACGCUGAGGAGCGAAAGCCAGGGGAGCAAACGGG
rnacentral:rRNA from 1 species